UACGUAGGGUGCAAGCGUUGUCCGGAAUUAUUGGGCGUAAAGAGCUCGUAGGCGGUUUGUCGCGUCGGCUGUGAAAUCCCGAGGCUCAACCUCGGGCCUGCAGUCGAUACGGGCAGACUAGAGUGUGGUAGGGGAGACUGGAAUUCCUGGUGUAGCGGUGAAAUGCGCAGAUAUCAGGAGGAACACCGGCGGCGAAGGCGGGUCUCUGGGCCAUAACUGACGCUGAGGAGCGAAAGCGUGGGGAGCGAACAGG
rnacentral:rRNA from 1 species